rnacentral:rRNA from 1 species
UCUGGAAUGAACGGUUGGACGAGAAAAUAACUGUCUCUGUUUAAAUUAAUUAAAACUUUAUCUUUAAGUUAAAAAGCUUAAAUAAUUUUAAAAGACGAGAAGACCCUAUAGAAUUUUAUAUAAUUUUUUUAUUUAACCUUUAGGUAUUUUAUUUUUAAAUUUUAAAGUUAUAUUUUAUUGGGGUGAUAGAAAAAUUUAUUAAACUUUUUUUUUAUUAAAACAUUAAUUUAUGAUUUAUUGAUCCAUUUUUAUGAUUACAAGAUUAAAUUACCUUAGGGAUAACAGCGU